GUGGGGGAUAUUGCACAAUGGGGGGAACCCUGAUGCAGCGACGCCGCGUGGGUGAAGGAGCGUUUCGGCGCGUAAAGCCCUAUCGGCAGGGAAGAAGGAGGACGGUACCUGACUAAGAAGCCCCGGCUAACUACGUGCC
rnacentral:rRNA from 1 species